rnacentral:lncRNA from 1 species
GGGGGGGGGGGGGGGGGCUAUGGUUUUUUUUGGAAAAAAAAGUUUGUUUCCAGUUUUUGGAGAAAAAAAUAACUUGUUUUUGAUUAUGAGAAAAAAAAAAUUGUUUGUUUCACCCUCAGCUGCCACUAUAUGUAAUGCUAAAAUUGAAAGAAAAAAAUUGUUUUCGACUUGUCGUGAAAAAAAUAGAUUGUUUUUCGCCGCAGGCCAAAAAAAAAAAUUUGUCCAGAAAAAAAACCCAUAGCCCCCCCCCCCCCCCCCCCCCCCCCCCCCAGAAAAUCAAAUGGUUGCUGCCU